AUUGAACGCUGGCGGCAGGCCUAACACAUGCAAGUCGAACGAGUGGCGGACGGGUGAGUAAUGUCUGGGAAACUGCCUGAUGGAGGGGGAUAACUACUGGAAACGGUAGCUAAUACCGCAUACCAUCGGAUGUGCCCAGAUGGGAUUAGCUAGUAGGUGGGGUAACGGCUCACCUAGGCGACGAUACCUAGCUGGUCUGAGAGGAGGACCAGCCAACGUGGAACUGAGACACGGUCCAGACUCCUACGGGAGGCAGCAGUGGGGAAGAUUGCACAAGGGGCGCAAGCCUGAGGCAGCCAUGCCGCGUGUGUGAAGAAGGCCUUCGGGUUGUAAAGCACUUUCAGCGGGGAGGCGUUACCCGCAGAAGAAGCACCGGCUAACUCCGUGCCAGCCGCCGCGGUAAUUC
rnacentral:rRNA from 1 species